GACGAAGGGGGCUAGCGUUGUUCGGAAUUACUGGGCGUAAAGGGCGCGUAGGCGGCCUACUAAGUCAGACGUGAAAUCCCCCGGCUUAACCUGGGAACUGCGUCUGAUACUGGAAGGCUUGAGGAUGGGAGAGGGAUGUAGAAUUCCAGGUGUAGCGGUGAAAUGCGUAGAUAUCUGGAGGAAUACCGGUGGCGAAGGCGGCAUCCUGGACCAUUACUGACGCUGAGGCGCGAAAGCUAGGGGAGCAAACGGG
rnacentral:rRNA from 1 species